ACUUGUGAAGGGAGUGUUGCCUAUCAGAUCGGCUCUGGAUCUGAUGGUCCACUCUGCUGGAAGGUGCUAUGCCUUUGAACCUCGCUCGGUUGAUAGCCAGUGAUGCUGCUUCCCAGGCACUCGUGGGGAUGUGUACUGUCAAAAGUUGGGCAAAUGCUGAAACCUCUACUCCGUAUGCAGUUUCCAUAUCAUUCUGUGCAUGAUAUGAGUUAGACCUCCCAAAACCGGUGGGGAGCAAACACCACACAUGUAUAUGUGUAAUAUUUGAAAAUAAUACAUUUGUAAGUUAAGGAGGUUUACAUCAAAGUUAAGCAGAUUUUGAUAAUAAAAUGAAACCGUUGGGGUUCCCAGG
rnacentral:lncRNA from 1 species